UGGGGAAUAUUGGACAAUGGGCGAAAGCCUGAUCCAGCAAUGCCGCGUGUGUGAAGAAGGUCUUCGGAUUGUAAAGCACUUUCGACGGGGACGAUGAUGACGGUACCCGUAGAAGAAGCCCCGGNUAACUUCGUGCCGG
rnacentral:rRNA from 1 species